CCUACGGGCGGCAGCAGUGGGGAAUAUUGGGCAAUGGGCGCAAGCCUGACCCAGCAACGCCGCGUGAAGGAAGAAGGCUUUCGGGUUGUAAACUUCUGUUAAGAGGGAAGAGGAGAAGACGGUACAUCUUGAAUAAGCCACGGCUACCUACGGGCCAGCAGCCGCGGUAAUACGUAGGUGGCACGCGUUGUCCGGAUUUACUGGGUGGAAAGGGCGGGAAGCCGGGCAGACAAGGCAGAUGGGCAAGCCCGCGGCUCACCCGCGGAACUGCCUUUGAAACUGUUUUUCUUGAGUACCGGAGCGGUCAUCGGAUUUCCUUUUGUAGCGGUGAACUGCGUCGAUAUCAGG
rnacentral:rRNA from 1 species